GAGCCCUUUUUGCAUUUCAAUAAGGGGAGGAAAAGAGACCAACAGGGAUUGCCUCAGUAGCGGCGAGUGAAGCGUGCAAAAGCUCAGAUUUGAAAUCGUGUUUCGGCACGAGUUGUAGAUUGCAGGUUGGAGUCUUUGUGGAAGCGUGUGUCUAAGUCCCUUGGAACAGGGUGCCAUUGAGGGUGAGAGCCCCGUGAGACGCGUGCGGAAGCUGUAAGGCCCUUCUGACGAGUCGAGUUGUUUGGGAAUGCAGCUCUAAGUGGGUGGUAAAUUCCAUCUAAGGCUAAAUAUUGGCGAGAGACCGAUAGCGAACAAGUACUGUGAAGGAAAGAUGAAAAGCACUUUGAAAAGAGAGUGAAACAGCACGUGAAAUUGUUGAAAGGGAAGGGUAUUGGGCUCGACAUGGGAUUUGCGCACCGCUGCUCCUUGUGGGCGGCGCUCUGUGCUUUUCCUGGGCCAGCAUCGGUUUUUGCCGCAGGAGAAGGCGUGCUGGAAUGUGGCUCUUCGGAGUGUUAUAGCCAGUGCGAGAUGCUGCGUGCGGGGACCGAGGACUGCGA
rnacentral:rRNA from 1 species